AGAGCAGUGCAGAAAGGUUUCGGCCGCCUUCUCCAAUCAAAAGUCACACCUAUUGGCCUAAUGCAGCUGCUUUUACUGCAAAUGCACAACCUACAUUCUGGAUUUAAUCACUGCUUGGCGAUUGCUGUUACCCUCCUUCACCUGCCAGAGAGCAAACAAACAUCUUAGUAAGCAAAAAGGUAAGGAAAGCAAGCUUACGACUGCGUGGGACACUGACAAGACAAGGCAUUGGUAACACCUGAUUAAACUUGUUAAGUCCUCAUAAGACUUCAUUGAAUUAUUCCAGGACCUUGCCCGAGCACUUCUAGAAGGAACCCCCCCCCCCCCAACACCAUUUCCAAGGUAAAAUGAAAUGCAGAUGAGGUCUGACAGCUGUGGCAACCAGCUCUCGGUGUCACUAUCAGUUGCUCAUCUGACUGCAAUCAUCACACUACAGU
rnacentral:lncRNA from 1 species